GACUAGCUGUAGUUCAUUUGGAGCAGCAUUGGACUUGUAAUCCAAGGGUCGCUGGUUCGAUGCCAACGCAGGUCA